rnacentral:ncRNA from 1 species
GAAAGCCGUAUGCUUUGGAAGAAGCUUGUACAGUUUGGGAAGAGGUUUUGAUUGAUCCAAAAGAAGAAUCUACUUCAAU